CUGAUGCUAUUCUCCAAUAAAAGGAAACAUGGAUCCUCAGAGAACUGGCUGCUUCUUCACCUGGGGCACAAAAGCCUGCAGUCCGAUUUGAUCAUCACUGAUUAUGUUAGCCAGUCGCUGAUCCUGAAGGCUGAAGACCAUACCAAGGCCAUGUUGUCCUGUGGGAGCACUUGACAGUCAUUCAGUCUUCGACAGGUCAUGUGGCCAGUUUUAGCCAACGGAAUGGGAAAGGAAGUAACACAGCACAUCUGGUCCAAAUAAGUGAGGAGAAAGGAUACUUUCUCAGUCUGUCAACAGAAGAUACCAGUGUGACCUUGAAGUCCCAAGGUGAAGAUGGUGAAGUUCUAGCAUGAAAGAAGUUUAAAUCCCUGAAUAACUACCUGAACUCUAUUGGACAGUCACGUCAGCAAGAUACGAAUUUUUAUUGUGUAAAGCCAUGGGGAUUUUGAAAUUGUUUGUUACAGCCGCUAAUGUAACUUGCUCUAAUAUACAUCUUUUCAAUUUUUGUUUUCUUAUCCAUUCCUUAGUCACACUGAUGGAACAACUUUUAAUACUUUAAUACUAGGUUGAUUUACCUAGUAUGUAUUAUUGACACUAGAAAAAAAUAAA